UACGAAGGGGGCUAGCGUUGCUCGGAAUUACUGGGCGUAAAGGGCGCGUAGGCGGUUUGCACAGUCAGACGUGAAAUUCCUGGGCUUAACCUGGGGGCUGCGUUUGAUACGUGCAGGCUUGAGUUCGGAAGAGGGUCGUGGAAUUCCCAGUGUAGAGGUGAAAUUCGUAGAUAUUGGGAAGAACACCGGUGGCGAAAGCGGCUCACUGGACCACAACUGACGCUGAGGCGCGAAAGCUAGGGGAGCAAACAGG
rnacentral:rRNA from 1 species